AACGAACGCUGGCGGCAUGCCUAACACAUGCAAGUCGAACGGGAUCCAGGCUUCGGCCUGGUGAGAGUGGCGGACGGGUGAGUAACACGUGGGAACCUGCCUUUUGGUUCGGGAUAACCGCGGGAAACUGCGGCUAAUACCGGAUGCUCCCGAGAGGGGAAAGAUUUAUCGCCAGAAGAGGGGCCCGCGUCCGAUUAGGUAGUUGGUGAGGUAAUGGCUCACCAAGCCGACGAUCGGUAGCUGGUCUGAGAGGAUGAUCAGCCACACUGGGACUGAGAUACGGCCCAGACUCCUACGGGAGGCAGCAGUGGGGAAUAUUGGACAAUGGGGGCAACCCUGAUCCAGCAAUGCCGCGUGCAGGAAGAAGGCCUUCUGGGUUGUAAACUGCUUUUGCCAGGGGAUAAAAUUUCCAUGCGUGGAAAACUGAAGGUACCUGGUGAAUAAGCCACGGCUAACUACGUGCCAGCAGCCGCGGUAAU
rnacentral:rRNA from 1 species